AAUAAUAGGCUGUUCCAGAAUAAUCAGGAUGUUGCUGGAACCAAUUAUGGCAGGCAGGCUAAUUAGGACGCCUGGAGCCAAUUAAAAAGCUACUAGAAUCAAUUAGGACAGGCAAGCUAAUCAGGUCAUCUGGUUUAAAAAGGAUCUCACUUCAGUUAGUGAGGUGCAUGUGAGGAGCUGGGAGCAAGAGGCCCACAAGGAGCUGAGAGUGAGAAGGUGUACUGCUGGAGGACUGAGGAGUGGAAGCAUCAUCAGAUAUCAGGAGGAAGGUCCUGUGUGACUGACAGUAAUGAGCAACACGCACACAUAUACAUGAAACAAGUAGUCAAGCAGACUGAAAAAUACUAAAAUGAAAGGAAAAAACAGAGAAGGGACAAAGAAGAAGGAACAAGGAAAGAAACUGCAGCGAAUUAAGAUAUCAAAACCCACUGAAGGAUAACACAACAAUAUAUGAAGUCUGUAGUAACUGAGGAAGAAUGAAGAAACAAAAGAGACUUGUUCUGUGUUUGUAAAAUGUCUAACAAAAUGGGGUGCUGGUCUGUGGCUGGGCUCCUUGGCGCUGCUGCAAUACAACUAAAUAAUAUAUUUGUUUAAAAACCUGGGUUUUAAAGAAGUAUAAGUCUGAACGUGUGUUUCAGCAAGGAGUCCAAGACUCUCCUGCACUGUCUUGAUAAAUAUUCAAGAACUUGUCUCAGCACCUCCUUUAAUGAUGCUGAAUUUCUGACUGUGCCUCAUUUUAUUACAUGAAAAGAGCAGGGUAGUAACUCAAUGUAACUCAAUCCAUAGAUGAUGCCUAGAUUGGUGUAUUAGCACUGGAGAGAACUGAUGGAUAAUUGUUGACUGCUUUAAUAUGAAAGACUGACCAGUGAAAAGGGCUUUGAAACCUAUUCCAUAGUGCAUUUACAUUACUUCCAACCUUCUAUUUCUGUAGUAAGUGUCUACAGUACUGCACUUCAGAGGCGCAGCUGUAGCUGUGCUGCUGUAGAGUUUCUAGUGUAGACAUACUCUUAAGACUGAGGAGCAUUUCAAUUAUCAUGGGUUACUGAGUUAUUAUUUCAAUACUAUAAACUAUAAAUAUUGUAUUUAUUUGCUGAAUUGUAUUUGUUAGCAUAAGUUUUAAUCUACUGUGAAGGUGCCCAGAGCAAUAGACAGACACUUAUUAAAUGUAAUUCCAAAUCAGUAAAAUAAAUAAAAUAUUAAUUAGGUUA